UACGGAGGGUGCGAGCGUUGUCCGGAAUCACUGGGCGUAAAGGGCGCGUAGGCGGCCUGAUAAGUAGGGGGUGAAAUCCUGCGGCUUAACCGCAGGCUGCCUUCUAAACUGUCAGGCUUGAGCACAGUAGAGGCAGGUGGAAUUCCCGGUGUAGCGGUGGAAUGCGUAGAGAUCGGGAAGAACAUCAGUGGCGAAGGCGGCCUGCUGGGCUGUUGCUGACGCUGAGGCGCGACAGCGUGGGGAGCAAACAGG
rnacentral:rRNA from 1 species